rnacentral:lncRNA from 1 species
UUGUAGCAAUUGUAUGGGAGGCAAAAAUGGAAGACUAAAACUGCUAUUUGACUGAGUAAGACAUAGGUGUGUCUUUCCAGGUACACUCUACACCAUUCUGCUCUGUGCUCUGAGAUACUGACUGUAUAGAUAAACCUGCCAACAGAUUUCAUUUCUUUGGAUAGAAGUAUGCCUUUAUCUUUCAGAGAUGAAUUUUUCCCUCUGGUUUUUGGAGAAGUCAUUCCAGGGGAGGUCUUCAAGUUACACAAAUUUAAGACCAAGCUCAUACUUCGGGAUGAAUUGGUAAAAGGAGAAGCUGAGAGCCCUGCUUAUCCACAAAGGAGGAAGUUCAGGAUAGAGAUUAGACCAAAGGACGAGAGAUGCUGAAACAACUGAGGAUGAAUGGACCAUUGUGCUAAAACUGGAAAAUGUGCAUCUAGGCUGAAAAUAGCAUAGGCAAUUACUACUUAUUGAAUAUUACCUAAAUCAUAACUCUCUCCAUUACACACCGUGCUUGCAUGAAUUUUCAAACACAGUUUACAUUUUAGCAUUCAUAGGAGUCACUGACAUGGCUAUGACAUAUCCUAAUUCACAUAAGCAUAUAAGUCUGUGAAUUUCUGAAGUGAAUGGAGAUUAAAUGAAACAACCCAACUUUUGAUUUCAAAGAAAAUGUAGCAGAAAAAAAUGACAAUGUGUUCCAAGUUUUGAUUACCCUUAAGAAUGUACUUCGAAUUGGGCUACAAAUGUAAGAGCACAAAUUCAUUCCUUUGUUCAUUUAUUUUUUCAUUCAUUCACAAUGUUUUUUAAGCACAAACUACAUUUCAGGUAUUAUUUUAUUUCUGAGAUUCAUUUCAGACUUUAUUACAUUGUUAUUACAGUAGGACAAGACUCUUCUGGGUUUAAGUAAUUGCUCCUGAAACAUGAAACAUUUAACCCUCCAGAAACGAUCUGACAACAUCCAACACUUAUACUAGCACACUGAAAAGAUAUGUUAUCUGUCUCAGUAUUAAAGACAUUACAAAGUAAAGCAAGCUUUGUUGGAAACUAGAAAUAGCCUGUGAGUUCAGGUUGGAAAAAAAUGUUUGAAGGCAGGAAGGAAGAUUUGCAUUCAAGCAACAAGUAGUUGUAAUAAAAAGUUGGUAAUAAUUCUGUGCC